UGAAGCUCUGGAUUGAAAAAA
rnacentral:piRNA from 1 species